AAGUCGUAACAAGGUUUCCGUAGGUGAACCUGCGGAAGGAUCAUUAACGUGGGGCUCCGGCCCUGUCGUGAUAGAACCCUUGCCUUUUGAGUACCGUCCGUUUCCUCGGCAGGCCCGCCUGCCAAUGGGGACCCCAAUAAACCCUUUUUAUGUACCUGUAUCAGUCUGAAAAACAAACAAAAAGUUAAAACUUUCAACAACGGAUCUCUUGGUUCUG
rnacentral:misc_RNA from 1 species